AUCCAUUGCAAUUGUAGAAAAGAAACAUAGUUCAUGGAAAAAUUAAAAAAUAUCUUGAAAUAAAAAUAAGAACUACUUAUAAAAAAAUUAAAAAAAAAAUAGAUGAAGAAAAUUGAGUCUUCUCGAUGAAUUCCGUCGAUCCUUGAUGCUAAAAGGCUUUAGCAGCUUCUCUUCUUUUUCUCCACAUUUUUUUGAGGCUAAGUCUCUUUUUUCUUCUUUUUUAUCUCAUCAAAAUUCACAGCACUCCAACGAAUAAAUCUUUUGUUGGAGUGAAAAACUACUUCCCUUACCUAAAUCAAACUAUCCUAUUUUUAUACUUCGUCGAACAU
rnacentral:lncRNA from 1 species